AACGAACGCUGGCGGCAUGCCUAACACAUGCAAGUCGAACGAGACCUUCGGGUCUCUUGGCGCACGGGUGCGUAACGCGUGGGAACCUGCCCUUAGGUUCGGAAUAACUCCCCGAAAGGGGUGCUAAUACCGGAUAAUGUCUUCGGACCAAAGAUUUAUCGCCUUUGGAUGGGCCCGCGUUGGAUUAGCUAGUUGGUAGGGUAAAAGCCUACCAAGGCGACGAUCCAUAGCUGGUCUGAGAGGAUGAUCAGCCACACUGGGACUGAGACACGGCCCAGACUCCUACGGGAGGCAGCAGUGGGGAAUAUUGGACAAUGGGCGAAAGCCUGAUCCAGCAAUGCCGCGUGAGUGAUGAAGGCCUUAGGGUUGUAAAGCUCUUUUACCCGGGAUGAUAAUGACAGUACCGGGAGAAUAAGCUCCGGCUAACUCCGUG
rnacentral:rRNA from 1 species